AAACCAGCACCUCAAGUGGUCAGGAGGAUUAUUGGGCCUAAAGCAUCCGUAGCCUGUUCUGUAAGUUUUCGGUUAAAUCCAUUAGCUCAACUAAUGGGCUGCCGAAAAUACUGUAGAACUAGGGAGUGGGAGAGGUAGACGGUAUUCGGUAGGAAGGGGUAAAAUCCUUUGAUCUAUUGAGGACCACCUGUGGCGAAGGCGGUCUACCAGAACACGUUCGACGGUGAGGGAUGAAAGCUGGGGGAGCAAACCGGAUUAGAAACCCCGGUAGUCC
rnacentral:rRNA from 1 species